AUUCCCUUUAAUUACAGUCCAGAGAGGCUGAGAAGGAACUAGAGAACGGUCAGGUACAGAUUUAGUGUAUCUGGAUAUUAUCGUAUGCUCAAAAACCUCUCAUCUUCUGGUGAGAGGUUUUAUUAUU
rfam:Anaerobacillus arseniciselenatis strain DSM 15340 Ga0137926_151, whole genome shotgun sequence.